ACCUAAUUACUAACCAUAGCAGCCGCCCACCUCCUUCCUCACAGCAACACAACCUUUCACAAUUCACAAAUAACACUCACGAGUCCACAGUCACAAACAAUUCUUCGUUCUUCAGUCAGUAUUUUGAAUCUUCAUCAGCCAUCGUCAACACAUGGUAUUGCCAUUGCUAUGCCUAGCUACCAAUUCUUUUAUUUCUUUACUAUUUUCAUACAUCUAAAGCAGAGUCUUCAAGGGCCAUAUCCCCUGCAAGAACUUGAGAUUAAUAGCCCUUAUGGCAGCAUGACGAGCAGAGAGGGGGGCAAGCGUUAGCUGUACUUCACCCAUCAACACUCCAAAUUAAUUGAAACCUGUGUUUGGAUCACUAUGACUUGUUAUGUUUCGAAAAGAUUUUGCUAAUUUAUUCUAACAAUAUAGCAUAACCUUAUUUCUAUUUUUUUAACCCCG
rnacentral:lncRNA from 1 species